UGUGCCACCAGGCCCAGUUAAUUUUUGUAUUUUUAGUAGAGACGGGGUUUUGCCAUGUUGAUCAGGCUGGUAACUGUAUAAUUCUUUCAACCUUUCUGUACAUUUGAAAUUUUUCGUAAAAUAUUGAGGAAAAAUGGAGAAGAAAAAUUGAACUAUCAAAAAUAGAAUUAAACUAUCCUAAGGUAGACACAUGUGUUUGUAUAAAAACCAGAGAGUUAUAUAUUAGAAAUGAAGUAUUUUGUUUGAGAGGUUAACAUCAAGUCAAAGUCAUCAGGACAGGCUACAAUUCUGAAAUUCCUGUUAUGCUGUAAAUUAUUUUUGGCCAUUAUCAGAACCCCAGUGGUUUCCAUUGUUUUCAUCUCAUAAAACCAAAAGUUAAAGAGCUUUAUUAUAUAUUAUUUUGGGUAUUUACCUGGACUGGGUGGUCCUAAACUGACUAUCAUAGCCAAGAUUUUGGUUACCAGAGAAAGCAAAUAAAGGUUAACAGUGGUGGACUGGUGUUUUAAUGGGGAAUUCUUCUAUUUGAAUGUUCAAUUCAUUAACAAUACACUCCUUAAAAAGGUGCUGAGAGGAUUAAAGAAUUGUAAAACACCUAGUUGAGCACCUGGCCCACAGUAGGCACUCAAAAAUGUCAGUGUCCCCUUCUCUUCCCCAACAAUUUUCAAUUCUCAUGAAUCCCUCCCCUCCUCCUCUAGUACCAGGUUGAUGUUGUACCUUAGCCAAAAAAAAAAA